rnacentral:rRNA from 1 species
GACGAACGCUGGCGGCGUGCUUAACACAUGCAAGUCGAGCGGUAAGGCCCUUUCGGGGGUACACGAGCGGCGAACGGGUGAGUAACACGUGGGUGACCUGCCCUCAGCUCUGGGAUAAGCCUGGGAAACCGGGUCUAAUACCGGAUAUGACUCCAUGACGCAUGUUGUGGGGUGGAAAGCCUUGUGCGGCUGAGGAUGGGCCCGCGGCCUAUCAGCUUGUUGGUGGGGUGANGGGCCUACCAAGGCGACGACGGGUAGCCGGCCUGAGAGGGCGACCGGCCACACUGGGACUGAGACACGGCCCAGACUCCUACGGGAGGCAGCAGUGGGGAAUCUUGCGCAAUGGGCGAAAGCCUGACGCAGCGACGCCGCGUGAGGGAUGACGGCCUGGU